rnacentral:lncRNA from 1 species
AGACAUUUGACCUUCUUAUGAAAGCAGUUGUCUCUUUGGGAAACUAUGAGAAUGAAUUUACAUUUACAAAGUUUUCUAGUCCCUUUAAGGAAAUAAGUGAAAUUACUCAAGAAGGGAAUAAACGGUAUUCAGACACACAUUGACAGCAAUGGCUUCCUGUGAUGGAAACGAGAAGGCUGCCUCCAGUUCAGCGCUUCCAGAAGUCUGCAAGCUGGGAAGAGAUCUUCCAGAGCUGGCGGCUUGACUCUGCACUGACCAGCCACCACUUACGUGGGCUAUUCUUCAGCCUUCCCCCCGAUGGUGAGGAUAUAAGGACCAGACUUGGAGCUCAG